GAAAUGCGAUAAUUAAUGUGAAUUGCAGAAUUCAGUGAAUCAUCGAGUCUUUGAACGCACAUUGCGCCCCCUGGUAUUCCGGGGGGCAUGCCUGUCCGAGCGUCAUUGCUGCCCAUCAAGCACGGCUUGUGUGUUGGGUCGUCGUCCCCUCUCCGGGGGGGACGGGCCCCAAAGGCAGCGGCGGCACCGCGUCCGAUCCUCGAGCGUAUGGGGCUUUGUCACCCGCUCUGUAGGCCCGGCCGGCGCUUGCCGAACGCAAAUCAAUCUUUUUCCAGGUUGACCUCGGAUCAGGUAGGGAUACCCGCUGAACUUAAGC
rnacentral:misc_RNA from 1 species